GGAAGAGGAAGGAAAUACGUAGCGCGUAUGUAAGUUGGUUCAGGGGCGUGAUUGGAAAGCGAAGCAAUGAAUGGAUUACACAUUACAAUUCAAAGUGAUGCGUGCGCGGUAAAAUGUAUUAAUACGGAUACAAAUUUCUCAAUAAAAGAGAAAGAGAAAUUGAUAAUGACAUAUAGGUUGGGGCUAACGUAAGCAGAACGGAUAAAUGAUAACCGAUGAAAAGUAAUUUUAUUAAGAGGAUUUGCUUUCUUCGGCAGCAAACAGGAAGACGGCAAGUGAAAGGUGCGUUCCGAGAGUAUGUAGUCGCGUUCUGGUAGGUAGAGUGUGCGGUCUCAUCGGGCUAAUAUUGUGACAUACCACUGGUGCUUACGACUCUGCACUUAUAUGAUUAAAAAUAAGAAAAAAUGUUAACUUGCGUGGCACUGAAGCUAUAAUACAGAUGCAUUUUUUAUAGGAUACAAGUAUGUGAAAAGAUGAUUGCUGAAUCAGUUUGAAUGACAGCCAUAUUCUAUGCUGCUCGAAUCUGAACAAUCUGUGCAGAGAGUGUAGUGUGGCUUUGGAAAAUAAUCCUUGCAAAACUUUCUGAAGAUAUCUUGUCAAAUCAUAGAGUUUUCAAUACAAGGACUGGAUUUCUGAACGAUCAUAAUAUGCUAUAGUGGUCCGAUAUCAGCGGUUUCGACAAAUGUGUAGCUUCUUGAGGGGAAAAAGUUUGUGUGCGAAACAUCAGCGCGUUAUCUCAAAAACUGAGAGGCUCUAUGGGCUCUUGAAAAGAUCAAAGAAGAUCCGACGUUUUCGAGCCAAAUUUUGUUCAGCGGUGAGGCCCAUUUCAGGAUUUGGGACGAAGAGGACCCUGAAGAGAUUCAAGAGCUGCAUUUCAUCUAGAAAAAAAAAACGGUUAGGUGUAGUUUUUGGGCCGUUGGAAUCAUCGGUCUAUAUUUCUUCAAAAAUGAUGCCUGUGAGUACGUAACCGGCAAUGACGACCGUUAUCGCGCCAUGAGAACUGAUUAUUUGAUGCCUGAAAUUGAAGCUCGUGAGCUCGGCGACGCUUGGUUUCAACAAGACAGUACCACUCCCCACACAUUACACUUCGGUGAGAAGAUUAUUUCACGUUUUGAGCCGGUCGAUUAGCCACCGAGAGCGUGUGAUAUCACAUCAUUAUUCUUUUUCCUGUGGAGAUAUGUAAAGACUAAAGUCUAUGCGGACGAUACCGCUUCGAUUCAGACUUUGCAACAAAGCAUCACGCCUGUCAUUCGCCAGUGACCAGUCGAAGUGCUCGAACGAGUCAUCGGAAAUUGGACUCAACGGAUGGACCAUCUGAGACGUAGCCGCGGCCAAUAUUUGAAAGAGAUAAUCUUCAAAAAUAGGGAACCUCGAAAUGGACGGUUUACACUUUGUCAUCUAUAAAAAUGAAAAUAUCAGCACAAAACUAUAAAAUCAAGGUUGAUUUAUGAAAUGU